UACGAAGGGGGCUAGCGUUGUUCGGAUUUACUGGGCGUAAAGCGCACGUAGGCGGAUCGUUAAGUCGGGGGUGAAAUCCUGGAGCUCAACUCCAGAACUGCCUUCGAUACUGGCGAUCUUGAGUCCGGAAGAGGUGAGUGGAAUUCCUAGUGUAGAGGUGGAAUUCGUAGAUAUUAGGAAGAACACCAGUGGCGAAGGCGGCUCACUGGUCCGGUACUGACGCUGAGGUGCGAAAGCGUGGGGAGCAAACAGG
rnacentral:rRNA from 1 species